GUAGGGGGCAAGCGUUGUCCGGAAUUAUUGGGCGUAAAGCGCGCGCAGGCGGUCUCUUAAGUCCGAUGUGAAAGCCCACGGCUCAACCGUGGAGGGUCAUUGGAAACUGGGGGACUUGAGUGUAGGAGAGGAAAGUGGAAUUCCAUGUGUAGCGGUGAAAUGCGUAGAUAUGUGGAGGAACACCAGUGGCGAAGGCGACUUUCUGGCCUACAACUGACGCUGAGGUGCGAAAGGUGGGGAGCAAACAGGAUUAGAUACCCUGGUAGUCCACGCCGUAAACGAUGAGUGCUAGGUGUUAGGGGUUUCGAUGCCCCUUAGUGCCCGAAGUUGACACAUUAAGCACUCCGCCUGGGGAGUACGACCGCAAGGUUG
rnacentral:rRNA from 1 species